UACGUAGGGUGCAAGCGUUUAAUCGGAAUUACUGGGCGUAAAGCGUGCGCAGGCGGCUUUGCAAGACAGAUGUGAAAUCCCCGGGCUCAACCUGGGAACUGCAUUUGUGACUGCAAGGCUAGAGUACGGUAGAGGGGGAUGGAAUUCCGCGUGUAGCAGUGAAAUGCGUAGAUAUGCGGGGGAACACCGAUGGCGAAGGCAGCCCCCUGGGCUAACACUGACGCUCAUGCACGAAAGCGUGGGGAGCAAACAGG
rnacentral:rRNA from 1 species